CAGCAGCCGCGGUAAUACGGAGGGUGCAAGCGUUAUCCGGAUUCACUGGGUUUAAAGGGUGCGUAGGUGGACUGGUAAGUCAGUGGUGAAAUCUUCCCGCUUAACGGGAAAACUGCCAUUGAUACUAUUGGUCUUGAAUAUUGCGGAGGUCAGCGGAAUAUGUCAUGUAGCGGUGAAAUGCUUAGAUAUGACAUAGAACACCAAUUGCGAAGGCAGCUGACUACACAUAUAUUGACACUGAUGCACGAAAGCGUGGGGAUCAAACAGGAUUAGAUACCCUGGUAGUCCACGCCCUAAACUAUGRAUACUCGACAUACGCGAUACACUGUGUGUGUCUGAGCGAAAGCAUUAAGUAUYCCACCUGGGAAGUACGAUCGCAAGAUUGAAACUCAAAGGAAUUGAC
rnacentral:rRNA from 1 species